rnacentral:rRNA from 1 species
UGGGGAAUAUUGGGCAAUGGGCGAAAGCCUUACCCAGCAACGCCGCGUGAGGGAAGAAGGUUUUCGGAUUGUAAACCUCUGUCCUGGGGGACGAAGGAAGUGACGGUACCCCGGGAGGAAGCCCCGGCUAACUACGUGCCAGCAGCCGCGGUAAUACGUAGGGGGCGAGCGUUGUCCGGAAUUAUUGGGCGUAAAGGGCGCGUAGACGGCCGAGUAAGUUAUAGGUGAAAGCCCAUCUUUCAAGGAUGGAAUUGCCUGUAAUACUGCCUGGCUUGAGUGCAGGAGAGGGAAGCGGAAUUCCUAGUGUAGCGGUGAAAUGCGUAGAUAUUAGGAGGAACACCAGUGGCGAAGGCGGCUUUCUGGACUGUAACUGACGUUGAGGCGCGAAAAGCGUGGGGAGCAAAACAGGAUUAGAUACC